ACUCAAAUGAAUUGACGGGGACCCGCACAAGCAGCGGAGCAUGUGGUUUAAUUCGAAGCAACGCGAAGAACCUUACCAGGACUUGACAUCCUCCUGACAGGCCCUUAAACGGGCCCUUCUUCGGACAGGAGAGACAGGUGGUGCAUGGUUGUCGUCAGCUCGUGUCGUGAGAUGUUGGGUUAAGUCCCGCAACGAGCGCAACCCUUGUCAUUAGUUGCUAACAUUAAGUUGAGGACUCUAAUGAGACUGCCGGGGACAACUCGGAGGAAGGUGGGGAUGACGUCAAAUCAUCAUGCCCCUUAUGUUCUGGGCUACACACGUGCUACAAUGGCCGGUACAACGAGAAGCGAAGUCGCAAGGCGGAGCAAAACUCAAAAACCGGUCCCAGUUCGGAUUGCAGGCUGAAACCCGCCUGCAUGAAGCCGGAGUUGCUAGUAAUCGCGAAUCAGAAUGUCGCGGUGAAUGCGUUCCCGGGUCUUGUACACACCGCCCGU
rnacentral:rRNA from 1 species